CAGUCGCCGCGGGAAUACGUAGGGUGCAAGCGUUAAUCGGAAUUACUGGGCGUAAAGCGUGCGCAGGCGGUUAUAUAAGACAGAUGUGAAAUCCCCGGGCUCAACCUGGGAACUGCAUUUGUGACUGUAUAGCUAGAGUACGGCAGAGGGGGAUGGAAUUCCGCGUGUAGCAGUGAAAUGCGUAGAUAUGCGGAUGAACACCGAUGGCGAAGGCAAUCCCCUGGGCCUGUACUGACGCUCAUGCACGAAAGCGUGGGGAGCAAACAGGAUUAGAUACCCCUGUAGUCCCUGUCUCUUAUAC
rnacentral:rRNA from 1 species